rnacentral:rRNA from 1 species
UACGUAGGGUGCAAGCGUUAAUCGGAAUUACUGGGCGUAAAGCGUGCGCAGGCGGUGAUGUAAGUCAGUUGUGAAAUACCCGGGCUCAACCUGGGAACUGCAUCUGUGACUGCAUCGCUGGAGUGCGGCAGAGGGGGAUGGAAUUCCGCGUGUAGCAGUGAAAUGCGUAGAUAUGCGGAGGAACACCGAUGGCGAAGGCAAUCCCCUGGGCCUGCACUGACGCUCAUGCACGAAAGCGUGGGGAGCAAACAGG